UCAAAGCAGGCCUUAGGUAUGCUCGAACUCAUUAGUAUGAAAUAAUAGAAUAAGACGUGUGGUUCUACCCGCGUCGCUGGUUUCUAGAACCUCUAUAAUCAUUGAUUAAUAAGGGGCGGCCGGGGGCAUUAGUUUUCAAUCGUCAGGGAUGAAAUUCUUGGAUCUGUUCAAGACUAAGUAGUGCGAGAACGUUUGCUAGAGAUGGUUUCGUU
rnacentral:ncRNA from 1 species